CGCAGACAGUCUCUCCACUCUUCACCACCGUUCUUGUUCUUUGUCUUCCUCCAAGCCUGUCCCUCGCUUCUCCUCCUCGUCUCCUCUCCUUCUCUCUUCCUCCAUCCCUCUCUCUAUCCCUCUCGCCUCUUCACUUCUCUUUCUUCUUCUUCUGUCAGGGCCACACCAUGGCUACUUGUUGCCACGGGGACCCUCCCUCCAGGCAACGAUCUGCUGCUAAGAGACGCAGCCUCGGUCUGGGGACCACUGAGACCCAACUACAAACUCUCCAGAGCAGGAACUGACAGAAAACACACCCUCCCACCCACUUCCUCUGCUCUCUCCUCAAAUAGGGGGCUAUCUCUGUUUCAUUUGAAUGCUUGUGUGACACUUGGCAACCCCACUUAAGAACCCACUCAACCAUCCGUGACACUUGAAGACUAAGUCAGCUGAUAUGAGCGCUGUAGCCCCUGCCUGCCUGGUUGCCAGGUCUGCAGCAGCGGAACGCUGUCGGCCCUGCCUGCCUGGUUGCCAGGUCUGCAGAAACGGAACGCUGUAGGCCCUGCCUGCCUGGUUGCCAGGUCUGCAGAAACGGAACGCUGUCGGCCCUGCCUGCCUGGUUGCCAGGUCUGCA